rnacentral:rRNA from 1 species
UGAGUAAUGCCUAGGAAUCUGCCUAGUAGUGGGGGAUAACGUCCGGAAACGGGCGCUAAUACCGCAUACGUCCUACGGGAGAAAGUGGGGGAUCUUCGGACCUCACGCUAUUAGAUGAGCCUAGGUCGGAUUAGCUAGUUGGUGAGGUAAUGGCUCACCAAGGCGACGAUCCGUAACUGGUCUGAGAGGAUGAUCAGUCACACUGGAACUGAGACACGGUCCAGACUCCUACGGGAGGCAGCAGUGGGGAAUAUUGGACAAUGGGCGAAAGCCUGAUCCAGCCAUGCCGCGUGUGUGAAGAAGGUCUUCGGAUUGUAAAGCACUUUAAGUUGGGAGGAAGGGCAGUUACCUAAUACGUGAUUGUUUUGACGUUACCGACAGAAUAAGCACCGGCUAACUCUGUGCCAGCAGCCGCGGUAAUACAGAGGGUGCAAGCGUUAAUCGGAAUUACUGGGCGUAAAGCGCGCGUAGGUGGUUUGUUAAGUUGGAUGUGAAAGCCCCGGGCUCAACCUGGGAACUGCAUCCAAAACUGGCAAGCUAGAGUAUGGUAGAGGGUGGUGGAAUUUCCUGUGUAGCGGUGAAAUGCGUAG